GACGAACGCUGGCGGCGUGCUUAACACAUGCAAGUCGAACGGAAAGGCCCUGCUUGCAGGGUACUCGAGUGGCGAACGGGUGAGUAACACGUGGGUGAUCUGCCCUGCACUUCGGGAUAAGCCUGGGAAACUGGGUCUAAUACCGGAUAGGAGCCAUUUUUAGUGUGAUGGUUGGAAAGUUUUUUCGGUGUAGGAUGAGCUCGCGGCCUAUCAGCUUGUUGGUGGGGUAAUGGCCUACCAAGGCGGCGACGGGUAGCCGGCCUGUGGGGGUGGACGGCCACAUUGGGACUGAGAUGCGGCCCAGACUCCUACGGGAGGCAGCAGUGGGGAAUAUUGCACAAUGGGCGCAAGCCUGAUGCAGCGACGCCGCGGGGGGGAUGACGGCCUUCGGGUUGUAAACUACUUUCGCUAGGGACGAAGCUUUUUGUGACGGUACCUAGACAAGAAGCACCGGCUAACUACGUG
rnacentral:rRNA from 1 species